rnacentral:lncRNA from 1 species
GGGCUAAACCAUUGUAUACACAGGAAAAUGCACACAUGAUUUUGUCUCUAUCAAAAAUCAACGUCUUAGAAUCAACUAGGACCAAAUUAGUUAUCCAUUCAGGAGUGCAAGGCCUUAUUCUUCAAUGAAGUUUGACUAGUCUCCCUAAGGGUCAAGCAAAAUCUAAUGCCUGAUUUUGAUUAAUGGUUGCAAAGUUUGUAGUUAACUUGACCCAUUGUUGUAAUCUUAUUCUUUUUGUAUUUUUUGUUUCCUUUUUUGUUUCUUGAUCUACUGCAGUUUCUGGUUCUUUUGUAAACUCUAGACUACUGUCUGCCCUUUUACAAUAAAUUUUACUGUAGGGGCGCAAGCCCCUCCGGAUCCUUCAAAAAAACCAGGAUCAAAUCCAAUGACGGUAGAUAAAAAUUUAAAGCCUGCAUCAAACUCUCGCCCUCUCGCGCUCCUUCUCCCUCACGCCACCCCUCAGGUGGCCGCCCCUCAUGAUCGACCCACCCCGCAGGAUGCUCCUCAUUAUCGACAAAACACUAGCCGAAGCUGCUUCCCAUGC